rnacentral:rRNA from 1 species
AGAGUUUGAUCAUGGCUCAGGAUGAACGCUAGCUGGAGGCUUAAUACAUGCAAGUCGAGCGGGAUUGGUAGCAAUACCAUGAGAGCGGCGCACGGGUGAGUAACGCGUACACGACCUACCUCUGACAGGGGGAUAGCCCUGGGAAACUGGGAUUAAUACCGCAUAUUAUUCUGAUUAAUAAAGGAUUGGAAUGAAAGUUCAGGCGGUCAGAGAUGGGUGUGCGUCUGAUUAGCUAGUUGGUAGGGUAACGGCCUACCAAGGCGAUGAUCAGUAGGGGGCGUGAGAGCGUGGUCCCCCACACGGGUACUGAGACACGGACCCGACUCCUACGGGAGGCAGCAGUAAGGAAUAUUGGACAAUGGCCGCAAGGCUGAUCCAGCCAUCCAGCGUGCAGGAAGAAGGCCCUAUGGGUUGUAAACUGCUUUUAUCAGGGAAUAAACCUCUGGAUUCACUCCGGAGCUGAAGGUACCUGAAGAAUAAGCACCGGCUAACUCCGUGCCAGCAGCCGCGGUAAUACGGAGGGUGCGAGCGUUAUCCGGAAUUACUGGGUUUAAA